ACUGCCGGCUGUAUUAUAUCCUGCCUGUUCAUUUCCACAAAAAUGCAUUGAAAAAAUUUUGCCGCAAGGGCGUGAGGGCAGCACUGGAGGGGCGCUUUUGACCUUGACAAUUUUCAAACAAACUUCAAAUUUGAAGGUUUAUAAAUAGGUUAAAUCGGGUUAGGUUAAAUGUUUUGAACAAUUUAUUAAACGGUUAAACGUUGAAUCAUACAUCGUAUCCUCUCUAUGGUGCUAAAUGGUUGAAAAUUACAACAAAAAGGACUAGCAAAGGUGAAAUUUUGCAAAAGGCACUUCUCGAUUUCCCAUUAACUGUUUCCCGAAAGGAAUUCUACAUCACCCCCUGUUCACGUUCCUCACCUUCAAAAGUUGUACAACUGUUUUCUUGUGUUCCCGACAUUACUCCUCGCGUGUUGGUGACUAUAAAAAGUUAGGUUAUAUUGGAAACAGCUUUUCCCGUUAAAGAGUGUAUGAAUUGGGAAAUUUAACAUUUUUUUUUGUAGCAAAAGGAAACAUUUGAAGGUAAGGAACGUGAUUAGGGGGUGGUGUAGAAGAAUUGUAACCAAACAGUUUGUGUGAAAUCGAGAAGUGCCUUUUGUAAAAUUUCACCCUAAUUAGCGCUGGAAGAAUAUAAAAAAACAGACAGUUCUUGUAUAACCAAAAUUUGCAAAAAUUGGUUUCAACACUUUAGAUAAUAUUAAGUUUGCAACCAUUACUUUGUGGUUUUUAUCUUCACAAGGCAAAAAAGCUGAACUGGCAAUUGGCUCCAAUAACAAAGACUCCACCACAGUUCUUGGAUGAUGAUUUACUGGUAUAUGUUCCAAAAUAUCAAAUAUAUAUCAAGUCAAGCAACGGGGUAGAUUUUGCGGUGGUUAGUAAUGAAUCUAAACAAUUUUUGCAUUCUAACCUUUCUUCAAUUGUUCUACAAAUAUAUCAAGAUAAAAACGCAACUGAUGCAGAGUUGAUAUCUGUGAAAAUGGUAUUAACGAAUGUUAAUUUAUGAAGAUCUUUUAGAAGACUGAAUUUGACCAAUUUUACUCAGGUGAUUACAGUGUGAAUAUACAUUUGCUGAUUCGGAAGUUGUUACUAAACCUGACUUAAUUAUUCGUUUAAUAGCAUAGUGUGCAGCCCUGGCAUCAGUAGCGUCCUGAGAACCACCGCAUAAUCUGACAUUGCUAAACAUCGAUUCAACUGCAUCUGAGCUAAAUGCUCGCGUCAAGACAUAGAAAAAGCCACUCUCUUCAAGUAAAUACUUGAUACAUUCUGCAGUGCUUUUGGCAGUGAAUUUUACUGCUUCUGCAGUCUCUUUAGUCAAUCCCGUCAUUUUAUUUGCCUUUGAACAUAAUUGAAUGGAAUCUAUAAAAGCAGGUAAAGUUUUUAACAUCCAUAGAAGGCGUUCAUCAUUAAUAUCUGUAUAUGGAGCACUAUUUUCAUUUACUUGCCGGAUUCCAGUCAAAUUAGCGAUCAACCUCGAAAUGAGAGAUAAUAAGCUGAAUUUUCGUAUAUACCUUCAUUUUAGCGUUCUAAAAGUUGUCUCAAAAGUCUCAUAAAAUCUCGUGUCUGCGUCGUAAGUUAUUCAAGGUCAAAGGUCAAGAAAAACAUUAUUUUGCGAUUAUCUCGGUUUCUAUUGCUCUAAUGAUGUUAACACCUAUUAUC